rnacentral:rRNA from 1 species
UACUAGAGUAGCACUCGCAUAUCAAUAAGCGGAGGAAAAGAAACUAACAAGGAUUCCCCUAGUAACGGCGAGUGAAGCGGGAAGAGCUCAAAUUUGAAAUCUUAAAGGGUUUCCCUUUACGAAUUGUAGUUUAAAGAAGUGUUUUCUGUUGAGGUUUUGGUAAAAGUUCUUUGGAAUAGGACAUCAUAGAGGGUGAGAAUCCCGUAUUUGACCUUUACUUUCAACUUUGUGAUACACUUUCAAAGAGUCGGAUUGUUUGGGAAUGCAGUCCAAAAUGGGUGGUAAAUUUCAUCUAAAGCUAAAUAUUGGCGAGAGACCGAUAGCGAACAAGUACCGUGAGGGAAAGAUGAAAAGAACUUUGAAAAGAGAGUUAAACAGUACGUGAAAUUGUCAAAAGAGGAAGCGUUUGACACCAGUGUUGUUUUUCUGAAAAUCAAUUAAAGAACUGUUUAUGCUAAGUUGUUUAGACUUUAUCAGCUAUCUGUUUAGUUUUGAGCUUUUCUUUAAUGCACUUUUCAGUUAACAAGUCAACAUCAAUUUCUUUUGCUGUAAAAAAGCUUGAGGAAGGUGGCUUGAGAUUCGUCUUAAGUGUUUAUAGCCUCUCGCCUAUGCAGUCGGAGAGAUUGAGGUCUGCAGCGUAGAUCCUUCGGGGCUAAAUGCAUUUGUGCUAAGUUAUAGCAUUUUAUAGACAACUUGUUGACUAUGAUUUGUCUUGUAGCUUACUCGCUUAUGUUAUUUUACCUACGCUUAGGAUGUUGAACUACUGAGACAUAGA